UGUUAUUAUGCAAAUGAUUGGUUCUGGUUUAAAGUCUUGAUCUGAUGCUGUGAGGCUGCAGAAGAAGAGAAACUCCCAUCAGAUCAUCUUCAACACCAACAUGUUCUCUGUAGCUCUGCUGCUGCUGCUGGCUGCUGGAUCCUAUGUAUCAUGUGAAACUCUGACUCAGCCAGCAUCUUUAAUUGUGCAGCCAGGUCAACGUCUGACCAUCAGAUGUCAGGUCUCUUAUUCUUUGGGCAGCUACACAGCUUGGAUCAGACAGGCUGCUGGGAAAGGACUGGAAUGGAUUGGGAUGAAAUAUACUGGCUACUCGUACUACAAAGACUCACUGAAGAACAAGUUCAGUAUUGACUUAGACACUUCAAGUAAAACAGUGACUCUAAAUGGACAGAAUAUGCAGCCUGAAGACUCUGCUGUGUAUUACUGUGCCAGAGACACAGUGACACAAACAAGCAGCAGAGCUGUACAAAAACCCCUCAGAGCCUGAAUGGUAGUUAUAUGUAAUCACCAGAGGAGGCGCUCUAAGACCAUUUUUUGUGGUUGUUUAAUUUGAAAGAAAGUUAUCAACCUCAAACUGAAAUGUUGAGCAGUUAUAAUAACAAUAACAACUGAAAAUAUUAUUAUGUAGUUCCUUUACAUACUGUAUACCGUUUUUCUCAAUUAUUAUGCAAAUUAGCAGUCUCUGCUGUGUAUUUCUGUCCUGUUGUCCGGUUUGUAGUUUGUGUCUCCAGCAUCAGUGUGAUGAACUCACUCUAUGUUCUUCUUUUCCUUUUCUUACACUGAGUUUGCAAAACUCAAUUUCCAAAUGACCAACACACUCCUAGAAUAAAUAUAAAAAAUAUAUGGCUAUAAUUUAUGCUAUUUUGCCAACUGUC